rnacentral:rRNA from 1 species
CGCCAUCACUCCUACGGGAGCCAGCAGUGGGGAAUUUGGACAAUGGGCGCAAGCCUGAUCCAGCAAUGCCGCGUGAGUGAAGAAGGCCUUCGGGUUGUAAAGCUCUUUGUCAGGGAAGAAACGGUGAGAGCUAAUAUCUUUGCUAAUGACGGUACCUGAAGAAUAAGCACCGGCUAACUACGUGCCAGCAGCCGCGGUAAUACGUAGGGUGCAAGCGUUAAUCGGAAUUACUGGGCGUAAAGCGCAUGCAGGUGGUUUGUUAAGUCAGAUGUGAAAGCCCCGGGGCUCAACCUCGGAAUUGCAUUUGAAACUGGCAGACUAGAGUACUGUAGAGGGGGUAGAAUUUCAGGUGUAGCGGUGAAAUGCGUAGAGAUCUGAAGGAAUACCGGUGGCGAAGGCGGCCCCCUGGACAGAUACUGACACUCAGAUGCGAAAGCGUGGGGAGCAAACAGGAUUAGAUACCCUGGUAG